GUCAGCACCGAGAGGCUCAGGAGAAGCUUCUACAUUCAGCCACUAGUAUCCUAAAUGGAGACACUGCCUUAAGCUAGGUUUAUGGUCGCCUUAAACGGCCUUAAAUUCGUUGUAAGAGAGGGAGCCAACACACUGGGAAAAGAAAAGGCAUUUUGCUGGAGUGUGUGAAAUCGCUUUG